AGCGAACGCUGGCGGCAGGCCUAACACAUGCAAGUCGAACGAUCCUUCGGGAUAGUGGCGGACGGGUGAGUAACACGUGGGAACGUGCCCUUUGGUUCGGAAUAACUCAGGGAAACUUGAGCUAAUACCGGAUGUGCCCUUCGGGGGAAAGAUUUAUCGCCAUUGGAGCGGCCCGCGUUGGAUUAGCUAGUUGGUGGGGUAAAGGCCCACCAAGGCUACGAUCCAUAGCUGGUCUGAGAGGAUGAUCAGCCACACUGGGACUGAGACACGGCCCAGACUCCUACGGGAGGCAGCAGUGGGGAAUCUUGCGCAAUGGGCGAAAGCCUGACGCAGCCAUGCCGCGUGAAUGAUGAAGGUCUUAGGAUUGUAAAAUUCUUUCACCGGGGACGAUAAUGACGGUACCCGGAGAAGAAGCCCCGGCUAACUUCGUGCCAGCCGCCGCCGUAAUAC
rnacentral:rRNA from 1 species